rnacentral:rRNA from 1 species
UGGGGAAUAUUGCACAAUGGGCGGAAGCCUGAUGCAGCGACGCCGCGUGGGGGAUGACGGUCUUCGGAUUGUAAACCCCUUUCAGUAGGGACGAAGCGCAAGUGACGGUACCUGCAGAAGAAGCACCGGCCAACUACGUGCCAGCAGCCGCGGUAAUACGUAGGGUGCGAGCGUUGUCCGGAAUUACUGGGCGUAAAGAGCUCGUAGGCGGUUUGUCGCGUCGUCUGUGAAAUCCUCCAGCUUAACUGGGGGCGUGCAGGCGAUACGGGCAGACUUGAGUACUACAGGGGAGACUGGAAUUCCUGGUGUAGCGGUGAAAUGCGCAGAUAUCAGGAGGAACACCGGUGGCGAAGGCGGGUCUCUGGGUAGUAACUGACGCUGAGGAGCGAAAGCAUGGGUAGCGAACAGGAUUAGAUACCCUGGUAGUCCAUGCCGUAAACGGUGGGCGCUAGGUGUGGGGGUCUUCCACGACUUCCGUGCCGUAGCUAACGCAUUAAGCGCCCCGCCUGGGGAGUGCGGCCGCAAGGCUAA